rfam:Candidatus Magasanikbacteria bacterium RIFOXYD2_FTLL_41_14 rifoxyd2_full_scaffold_168, whole genome shotgun sequence.
UUUGAUAUAAUGAACGCACCAUAGACAGCAGGUACCGCCACUUUGGCGAUUUAAUUUCCUGCCGAGGUGCAAACAAAUCAUAAGGUCGAUUUGCGCUAGGUCUGUGGUUCUAAGGAACCACUUUUUUAUUAGGUUU